UACGUAGGGUGCAAGCGUUAUCCGGAAUCACUGGGCGUAAAGCGUGCGUAGGUGGAUGUUUAAGUGUGAUGUUAAAUCGUGGGGCUCAACCCUGUCGAUGCAUCGCAUACUGGACGUCUAGAGGGAAGCAGAGGCAAGUGGAAUUGGUAGUGUAGCAGUGAAAUGCGUAGAUAUUACCGGGAACACCAAUGGCGAAGGCAGCUUGCUGGGCUUCUUCUGACACUGAGGUACGAAAGCGUGGGGAGCGAACAGG
rnacentral:rRNA from 1 species